AUACAUGCAAGUCGAACGAGCUUCCGUUGAAUGACGUGCUUGCACUGAUUUCAACAAUGAAGCGAGUGGCGAACUGGUGAGUAACACGUGGGAAAUCUGCCCAGAAGCAGGGGAUAACACUUGGAAACAGGUGCUAAUACCGUAUAACAACAAAAUCCGCAUGGAUUUUGUUUGAAAGGUGGCUUCGGCUAUCACUUCUGGAUGAUCCCGCGGCGUAUUAGUUAGUUGGUGAGGUAAAGGCCCACCAAGACGAUGAUACGUAGCCGACCUGAGAGGGUAAUCGGCCACAUUGGGACUGAGACACGGCCCAAACUCCUACGGGAGGCAGCAGUAGGGAAUCUUCCACAAUGGACGAAAGUCUGAUGGAGCAAUGCCGCGUGAGUGAAGAAGGGUUUCGGCUCGUAAAACUCUGUUGUUAAAGAAGAACACCUUUGAGAGUAACUGUUCAAGGGUUGACGGUAUUUAACCAGAAAGCCACGGCUAACUACGUGCCAGCAGCCGCGGUAAUACGUAGGUGGCAAGCGUUGUCCGGAUUUAUUGGGCGUAAAGCGAGCGCAGGCGGUUUUUUAAGUCUGAUGUGAAAGCCUUCGGCUUAACCGGAGAAGUGCAUCGGAAACUGGGAGACUUGAGUGCAGAAGAGGACAGUGGAACUCCAUGUGUAGCGGUGGAAUGCGUAGAUAUAUGGAAGAACACCAGUGGCGAAGGCGGCUGUCUAGUCUGUAACUGACGCUGAGGC
rnacentral:rRNA from 1 species